GCAUGAAACCAUCACCAUGAUCAAGGUAAUAGACAUGUCCAUCACCUCGAAAAUUUCCUUGUGCCUCUUUGUUUUUUCUUUGUGUUUUUCUAUUAUGGUAGGAACACUUAACAUGAUAUCUAUCCUUUUAGCAGUAGUUCUGUUUUUAGUUGUUGGAGAAAUCUCUAUACUGUUUUCCAUGGGGGUUGUACUAAUUUACAUUCCCACCGACAAUGUAUAAGCAUUUCCUUUUCUCCACAUCCUCGCCAACAUCUAUUAUUUUUUGACCUUUUAAUAAUAGCCAUUCUGACUGGUGUGAGGUGGUUCCAAUUUCUCCAUGUCCUCACCAAUGC
rnacentral:lncRNA from 1 species